CGUCAACACCCAUGUUCUCACGUUAUUUUUAAUGCAUGUCUUUGUAUUUAAUGUAUGUAUUGCAUCAUGUUUGUCUGCCUUGUAUUUAGCUUCUGUGAUGUAUUUAGGUUGGCAUGAUGAUUAGGAGAAAGGUUUAUAUAUUGUGUGUCCAGGAUUGCAGGUGGAAAGGCAGUCGGGCUAGACGUUUAGGGGCAGGGUUCAAAUAAUUUUACCAUGCUGUAGAUGGGACGAGAAAUGGAGUAGGGGUUAUUUUAAAGGAAGCAUUAGUUAAUGUCUGGGAAGUGAAAAGUGUGUCAGAUCGAGUGAUGAGGCUGAAACUUGAAAUUGAGGGUGUUAUGGGUAAUGUGAUGAGUGGCUAUGCCCCACAGGUAGGAUGUGACCUAGAGCUGAAAGAGAAAUUCUGGAUGGAGCUAGACGAAGCAGAAACAUAAUGUGACCUCCAUUGCGGCGGUAGAAGCACGCAGGUGGAUUACAUUUUGUGCAGAUGACGUAAUCUGAAAGAGGUUACUGACUGUAAGGUAGUGGUAGGGGAGGGUGUGGCUACACAGCAUAGGGUGGUGGUGUGUAAGAGGACUCUGGUGGUGGCGAGGAAGAUUAAUACGACAAAGGCAGAGCAGAGAACCAUGUGGUGGAAGCUGAGAAAGGAAGAGUGUUGUGCGGCUUUUUGAGAAGAGAUGAGACAGGCUCUCAGUGGACAGGAGGAGCUUCUAGAAGACUGGAUCACUACAGCCAAAGUGAUCAGGAAGACAGGCAGGAGAGUACUUAGUGCAUCUUCUGGUAGGAAAGGAGAGAAGGAGAUUUGGUGGUGGAACCACAAAGUACAGGAAAUCAUACAAGGAAAGAGGUUAGCUAAGAAGUGGGACACUGAGAGGACCGAGGUGAGGAGAAAGGAAUACAUUGAGAUGCGACGUAGGGCAAAGAUAGAGGUGUCAAAGAGGCAUAUGGUAUGCAUGCCAGGUUUAGAAACUAAAGGAGAAAAAUUAUCUACAGGUUGGGCAGACAUUGGGUUAGAGAUGGGAUGUGCAGCAGGUUAGGGUGAUUAAGGAUAGAGAUGGAAAUGUGUUGAUUGGAACUGUUUGCAGUGGUGAUGGAUAGGGUGACAGAUGAGGUUAGACUGGAAUCCCCGUGGACCAUAAUAUUUGUGCAGAUGACAUUGUGAUCUGCAGUGAAAGCAGCGAGCAAGUGGAGGAACAGAAAGGUGGAGGCAUGCACUGGAAAGGAGAGGAAUGAAGAUUAGCCGAAGUAAAACAGAAUAUAUGUGCAUUAAGAUGUUGAGGUUCUCUCUAGGAGAGACAAGGUUGGACAGGAUUAGAAAUUAACUCAUCAGAGGGACAGCCAAGGUUUGAUGUUUUGGAGACAAAGUUAGAGAGAGCAGACUUCGAUGGUUUGUACACAUCCAGAGGAGAGAGAUUCUAUUCUAGAGUCUAUUGGUAGAAGGAGGAUGAGUAUUGAGCUGCCAGGCAAGAGAGCUAGAGGAAGACCAAAGAGAAAGUUGAUGGUUGUAGUGAGGAAAGACAUGAGCUUAACUGGUGUUCGAGAGGAGGAUGCAGGAGAUAGGCUUACAUGGAAAAGGAUGACACCCUGUGGCGACCCCUAACGGGACAAGCCGAAAGGAAAAGAAGAUGAACUAUUUAAAAAAAAAAAAAAAAAAGUUAGCAAAAACCAAAAUGUCGAACAAAUAAGUAACCGCUUCUGUAAGCCUUCUCCUCUUCAGUGCUUCCUUAAGAUCCUUUUUUGUUGGUCACAUGAAAUAUUCAAAUUUUGUGAAACACUGGAUUUGUUUAUUUUUUUGUCUUUCUGUCAUAAUCAUCAAAAUUGAAACAAAGGCUUGAAGAAAUUUACUGUGGUGAACUAUUAUGCAAGUUCCACUUUUUGAAACAAAUGAUUUCAAUAAAUUGACUUUCCCUUGA